rnacentral:rRNA from 1 species
CAUGCAAGUCGAGCGGUAACAGACAUAAAGAUUCAGCUUGCUGAAUCCGGUGCUGACGAGCGGCGAACGGGUGAGUAACGCGUAGGAAUCUACCCAGUAGCGGGGGAUAGCCCGAGGAAACUCGGAUUAAUACCGCAUACGCCCUGAGGGGGAAAGGGGGCAAUUUAUUGCUCUCACUAUUGGAUGAGCCUGCGUAAGAUUAGCUUGUUGGUAGGGUAAUGGCCUACCAAGGCUACGAUCUUUAGCUGGUCUGAGAGGACGAUCAGCCACAUUGGGACUGAGACACGGCCCAGACAUCUACGGAUGGCAGCAGUUAAGAAUAUUGGACAAUGGGGGCAACCCUGAUCCAGGUAUACCGCGUGUGUGAAGAAGGCCUUAGGGUUGUAAAGCACUUUAAUCAGAGAAGAAGCAUUUUAAGUUAAUACCUUAAUUUGUUGACGUUACCUGAAGAAUAAGGACCGGCUAACUCCGUGCCAGCAGCCGCGGUAAUACGGAGGGUCCAAGCGUUAAUCGGAAUUACUGGGCGUAAAGCGCGCGUAGGCGGUUUAGCAAGUUGUAUGUGAAAGCCCUGGGCUCAACCUAGGAACUGCAUCCAAAACUACUAAGCUAGAGUACGAGAGAGGAGAGUAGAAUUUCUGGUGUAGCGGUGAAAUGCGUAGAUAUCAGAAGGAAUACCAAUGGCGAAGGCAGCUCUCUGGCUCGUCACUGACGCUGAGGUGCGAAAGCGUGGGUAGCAAACAGGAUUAGAUACCCUGGUAGUCCACGCCGUAAACGAUGACAACUAGCCGUUGGGCAGAUUUAACUGUUCAGUGGCACAGCUAACGCAUUAAGUUGUCCGCCUGGGG